rnacentral:rRNA from 1 species
UUAGGAAUAUUCGUCAAUGGGGGAAACCCUGAACGAGCAAUGCCGCGUGAGUGAUGAAGGUCUUUUGGAUUGUAAAACUCUGUUGUAUGGGAAGAACGGCCAAACUAGGAAAUGAGUUUGAAGUGACGGUACCAUGCCAGAAAGCUCCGGCUAACUACGUGCCAGCAGCCGCGGUAAUACGUAGGGAGCAAGCGUUAUCCGGAUUUAUUGGGCGUAAAGGGUGCGUAGGCGGCUUGUUAAGUAUGAAAUUAAAGCCCGGGGCUUAACUCCGGUUUGUUUCAUAAACUGGCAGGCUUGAGUAUGGAAGAGGUAAACGGAAUUUCUAGUGUAGCGGUGGAAUGCGUAGAUAUUAGAAGGAACACCAGUGGCGAAGGCGGUUUACUGGGCCAUUACUGACGCUGAGGCACGAAAGCGUGGGGAGCAAAUAGG